GGGGUCGUGGUGUAGCAUGGUCCAGCAUACCAGAGUGAAUUUUUCACGGUGAGCCUGGGGCGCUGGCGAUCCGGGGUUCAAAUCCCCGCGACCCCACCA
rnacentral:tRNA from 1 species